CUGUGGUGACAGCAGGCAGCAGAGGUCUCAGCCAGCCCCAGCAGGCAUGCUAAGUGAUAGAUGAACACAACAUCUCACUCUACAGCAUUUCAGUUCAGUUUCAGUGUGCAUUAAGGUUUGCCUGUGCUGCAGAAUCCUGGUGCAGCCUCCAAAGAAAAACCCUGUUGUGGAAUGUGCAAGCUGGUGUUUAAUACAUGAGCCCUUCGCAGCAGGUUGAGCAAUCAGAAGCGCUGCCGCUUCCCUGCAUGCCCCGGGAACUGCGGACUGUUCAGGUGCUGUGGGGCUACAAGGACAAUCUGAUCUGCUUCAGCUUCUUCUAUGCUCUUUGCUGGGUCACUUCUUAGGAAGAAGGUGGGUCAUCCCAUAUGAUUUCUUUCCCCUCCCUGCCUUGGCCACCAUGUCCACCCUGGGAAGGUGAUUGCCAUGGCCCAGAAUGACGUUUCUCCCUCUUAGCAAAGUGAGCUUGCAGCGCUGAGCCCCUCUCCCCAGACUGAGUGCUGUCAAAAUUGCUGCAUUCCAAAGGAGCCUCAUUCUACAGGUAUUUCCUUUCUGCUCUGCUAUGUGUCUGUGUAUCAGUUAGGAGGCUGAGAACAGCUGAGCAUCAGCGAUCUCCUUGUGCUGUGUUCCAUCCUGCGGCUCGUCGCUCCAUCACUGAGGUACAUUAUCCUACUCUCUAAACCAAGCAUGUGCCCAGGAGAUAAACCAAUUGUUUUUUUGUGCUGCUUUCUAUUUAGAUCCAUAGGCUUCAUUUCAGCUCUUUGGCAAUGCUUCUUCUAACCUUGCUGCAAGAAGUCCUUGUGGCCAAUGCAUCCUCCCUAACGAGGCUGACGGGCUGCUGGCGAAAGGUGCCAGAGGAUGGAAGCUGGCAUGCUGAGGGCUUCUGUCCUGCGGUGCAGGCUGCUGGGAUCUGCCUUCCAUUGUGCUACUGAAACAUCAUCAAAGCCAGGAAAUGGGAGUGCCAUUCCAGUGAAAACCUUUGCAGUGCUGCAGCAGAGAGCCUUAAAUUCAAAGCAGUACUUUAAAAAUCAGAACUAGAAGGCGCUGCAUUAGGCCAGUGAAUGAUUCCAGCUUACACUGCCCACACAUUUGGGAAGGCUGCUUCAUCACUUCACUGCUACAUUUGUCACCUGACACCUGAGGACAGGUCACUGGAUCACAGUUCCUUACUGCCCUGCAGCUGGGGAAGGAGUUUGCAGCCCUUCUGCUGAGAAGACAGGGCUGGGUCUGCAGCCAUUAAAAGGAGCAGAAGAAGAUUUCCUCGAAUUCCUGCAUUGCUGUGAGCUGACACAAGGGCACGGCGCUCCACGCAGCAACCACCAGAUGUGCAGUGCAGGGUGUGUGUCGUGGAGCUAAUUUGGUUGUUGCCUAGAGAGCAAGGAGUUAAAGAGCAAAUGGUUUGCAGAUAGGUGUCUGGAGAAAAUCCUGAGCAGCACUGUUCCUUGGAUGAUUCACUUGCACAUUCCUGCUGCAGUAACCAGAAGCUGAAGGAGCUGAGCUCAUAGGCUGAGUCUGCCUGUGCACCCUAUGGUAGUUUGCACGGUAUGGAUUUGCUAAUGAGGGAGGGCCACAGUGAUCAUUACUUAUGCAGCAUCUCAGGAAAGAUUAAUGGCUGUAUAUCUGGCUCUUCUCAUAGCCCAUAAAUCUUCACUGCAGUUAAUGAGUCUUUAUUGAUUCUGUCAGGUAGGGUAAUUUCCAUUUCUUUCAUCAAGGCACGUUAAAUACACGCUUAUCUACUUUUCUUUUCUUAUUAUUAUUUGUUUCCAGUUAUCUCUUCGCUUGUCUAAUCAAGUCUGGAAAAAAUAAUUGUCAUUAAUUCACUGACCUGAACCUGGGCCGAGCUGUUCUGUGCACUGGCUGAAUGUGACAACUAAUCCAACAGAAAUAUGCAUUAUAUUCCCCUACAUUGCCACCUUGAAACGUCCCGGCACUGCCUCCCUGCAGUACUGGUGCUGCCACAGGGACAGGGACACGAGCUGAAGUCUCCAUGAAGUCCUGUAUGGAACAAAGGCCAGAAGGAAGUCAUGAUUUCAGUGUGUCUACUGUACUGGAAGGAAAAACAGAACAAACAGAUCCUCCUUGAAACUCUUCCCACAACCAAACUUUUAAUGUUUUUAUGAGAGAUCUGCACAUGUAUUCACAUUUAUCAGCAUAUGCAAAUCUCCCACUGAAGGGAAGCAGGCUGUGUCAGAGCAGUGGAGGUAGAAGCUGACAGUAGAUCUCUACAGCUGUCAAAACAACGGCCUGGUAGAAUGCAGCCAUCAAAACACGAGUCUUGUGUGCACAUCUCAGACUUGGCUGUUCAAUCUCUUGCACCAGAAGCUCCUAUGGCAAAUGUUUUUGAAACACGGAUGAUCCGAGUGCAUCAGAAAGAAAGCAAUAGCUGUGACAUCUUGGUCUCCAUCCUCAAAAGGCACUGGGAAUUCCAAACAAUCUAGUAAUUGGAAUUCAUAGCUAGUUUCUGUAUGAAAAGUCAGCUGUAGAAAAUAGUGUGUUUGAAAGUAUCCCCUACUCCAUACAUCAGCAUGUAACCCGGAAGCUUUCCUUCCUUGCAGUUCCCUUUGGGUUGCUUUUCCCAGUAAGAGGUCCUACCCCCUUUUUGACCAGAGGCUCUUGUGGUAAAGGGGAGCGCUGUGGGACUUCCAAGCUGGAGUGGAGGGAGAAGCGGGUAGUGAGGCAAUGCUGUGCUAUUGGAAGUUGUGCUGUUGUAAACCAUGGGAACAGCUGACCUGAGGAAUCUGCGAGAAACAAUCCUCUAUCGUCAGACACUGAAUAAUCUAAUGACUUAUUUCAGUUUCUUAAAAAUUGCCUUUUCAUCAGUUGAAAGUUGCAAAUUGCUGGUUUAAUGAGUCCCAAGCAGAGAAAAUAGAAGUAAAAAUAUAUGCAUCUUAUCUAAUAAAUGCUGAGCACUAGACAGGCAUGACUAAAGCAAACUAACCUGCAGAUUUUAAAUCUCUUAGGAUCUGUUGCAGACAGCUUGGUUCAAAACAGCCAACGAAAGAACAGAGCUGCAGCAGGUCUGCCUCGGCACCACUUGCUGCAGCUCCUGGAGGAGCAGCGUUGCAUUUUCUGUUUGGUAAACUGCUGACAGUGCUAACAGUACCAUCUUUGAAACAGCAAACUGAGCAUGUGCCAUCCCUUUGAAGGACACAUGCUGAAAUGCAGGAUGAGUAGUUCCAGAUAAGCCAGCACAGUAUGUCAGUACCUUCAGCGUGUUGCACAAACUUGCUGAUAGGGGACAAAACAAAAACCACAGAAACAAAAGCAGCUCAACAUAUUGUUCUGGUGAAAUGAGAACUCUCUCCCCAGUGUCUGUAUGCUUUGUUUAAUGGAUCAUGGGAGCCUCAGGAUUCACCAGUGUCUCACGAAGCUGCACCAGGCGAUGGCAGAUGGCAGCAGGAGCACGCGGUGCAAGAAUGCGCCCUUCUCUUAAAUGCAGCAUGAGGGUGGAGGCCCUGGGCUUCUUUCCACGCAUGACUCAAAUGAAUCUUCUGCCUAAUGAGUAGCAUUUUGAAGUCAGCUUAAAAAUCCUAUAGUGAUCCUAUCUAACCAGCUUCUCCUACGUAAAGAUUAAUUUUUUAUAAUGGUGGUUUUCUUUCCAGUUGCCCAGGGCAGUUAUUUGCUAGGGCAGCCUCCUAUCAGCUGAGAUAACAAGGGCAAAGACUGACAGUCCAGCAGAGUCUGGGUUGUGCUCAUUUCUGGGGGAGCAGCGGAUACUAUUAAUGGUGUUCAGGCCUAAAUGGAACCAAGUGUCUCAUUGGGAAAAUAUGUUGGGGAGAAAGGGCUGUGCUAGGGGGCUGCAUACCCAGAUUGUGCUCCUGUUGGAUGACUGGCUGAUAAAACCAGCACUCCUAUAUAACCUUGCAAAAGUCAUUAAUGAAGCUUCAGUGCCUCACAGUGAUGGUGGUGCUCCCAGCUGAUGGAGACAUGCUGGAGCAAGCUGCAGUAACAGUGUCUGACUGGCAGUCUUCCCUGCUGGGUGCUGCUGUCAGGAAGGCACAGUAGAGACUACGUAGGCAUAUUGAAAUAGGGUAUGAGAUCAAAUCAUCUAAAAGAUCUGCAAGGACCCUUGUUGUCUUCUUCCUUGCAGUUUGCAAAUUGCUGCUGUAUACUGAUUUUAUCUGAUUUCAAAUGUAGCUUAAGAGACUGUUUGGUAGGCAAGAGCAUCUCUAAACUAGUGGUGAGCCUUUGGGGGCUGUGUGGCAGGUGACACAGGCUGGAGGUUUCCAUAAGUAUAGGAUCCAGUUGGCAGCAUAGGCUGGUGCCCUUGGAGGUGGUAUUGCUGCAAUGGGCGAUCUGUGUCCUCAGCUGAGCACUGGCACAGAACUAGCUGUGGAUGGCAGAGCCUCGAUUUCUUCUUCCAAGUAGCAAUGGGCUGCAAAAAUUAACAUGAGUAAAAUCCAUCUCCAUCCUAGGAACAUGUAAACAUCUGGACGAGUAGUUAUGAAGAUUAAUGUUAUGCACAGGGUAAGAAUUCCCACUGACAUUUGCUCAGUUUGCCCAAGCAAGUUAGUGGAAACCUCCUGUGAAUAUGAACCGUACUCUGCAGUGCUGCGCAGGCAUUUAACAGCUUGGAUGCCAGUCUCCUUACAGGCACAUCAGUAAGUCUUAGUCUUUAAUUGCCUUAAAAUAUAAUAUUGGAAGAAAAAAAAAGUCAUAGAGGUAUGUGUAACUUUUAAGACUAAGUGGAAAAGAAGUAAACAACAAUAAAGUUAUCCCCAUCUUUGGACUUAAAAUCAGUCCUGACUGAGGCAGUUCUUCAAGGAGAGUGGGUGACAGCUGUCUGUCAGGUCUGAGCAACACGUCUUCUGCACUGAUGAUCAAUGCCUGAAAUAACGCUGAGGUGCAGCAGUAGCUGUGUAUCAUUCAUAGGAGGGUGGCAGCUGCUCCAAGUACAGCACUGAGCGUGAAUGCCUGCUGUCUCGUGGUCAGUGGUUACUGCUGUGCCUGAAGCCUGGCUGUGCCUGUGGUCAGAUGCUCUGACAUCAAAGGUACUGUUGGCUCCUUUGGGCUGGUGAACUUUAUUGAAAGCAUGCCAUGUUUGGAGUCCCAUGAGCAGGUAACGUGCAUCCAUCUGAGCGUGCAGGUUUGAACGUGUCUGCCAUAAGGUAUUUGAAUCUGGAGGCAAUGUGAUUCUUGCUAUGCAAUAAAAUCAAGAAUACACAGUCUUUUAGUGUCUAAACCCCUCCCAGUCCUCCCCUAUUCUGAACGUACUGUUAUCAUUACACCGAUACUUGCUGUGUAAUACACUUUAAAUGAGUGUGAAUGUGCUAUGGACUAAUGUGGUUAUCUCCAUAUGGCAGGAAGUUGCUUGGUCGGAGGUCAUCUCCAUACUGGUGUAAUUCCAGGCAUGUUGCUGGUUUUAAUAAUAUAAUGACGAUAAUUGAUGUUCUAAAACUGGUAAGGUCAGUGUUCACUGGCUGCUACAUUUACUUGGCAGCCAGCUCAGCAGUAUUAACACGAAAUGAGGCACAAAUCCCACGUCCUGCUCCCAGGCCUGAUAGCAGAAUGGGCGCUCCAAUGAAUCGCAGUGCUGUUUACUCCUUUGGCACUCCUUUCUUGCUGACCUCUGCCCAGGUGUGCCAUGCAGCAGGGUAAGACGGGGUGAAGCCAGGGCCAACCUGAAAAGCCCUCACGUGGCAGUUUUGCCAUGACGAGUUAAUCACAGCAUUUGCUGGUAUUAUUCCAGACUUUUUUUUCCCCCUUUGGAUGUGUGCAGGUUCACAGAGUAAAGGCAGGACGACUGUUGAAUGUGUAUUAAUGGCUAUAAGAAAUAUAGGUCCCAGUUUGCCAGUUGUUCUGCCAGGUUCUCAGACAGGAAUGUUUAGGGAGCUUUUUCUCGGCAUGGUGCAAAGCCUGCAGCUAAGAAAAGAGCCCAGGGAAGAUAAUCUGCCUUUUUCCAUGUUCAGCAUUUCCCACCCGGUGUGAACCUAAAUCAUGUGGAUUUCACUACUGGCUCUGCAAUGUUACGGGGAGAUAAGGCGGUAACAACUCAUUUGUAUCCCCAGAUGAGAUAAACCAGAAGCACAUCUCCCCGUUUGUGAGUGGCUUCCUAUCAGAGGUGAGAAUAACUGCGCGGCACUAAGCUGGCAGUCAGCAGUGAUUAAUAAUAGUAAAUCUUUUGCAUAAAUAGAAAGGUGUCAUUGUGUGUAUUUCACUUACAGUGUUUCUAAUGUGUGUCUGUAAUUAAAUUACAUCUGGUUUUCUGUCCAAGAAAUUAAUGUGCACUUACAUAAUGUGUUGGUGCUCUUAUGUUCAGGAGGGGGAAAUGAGUGCUCUGCCUUUUCAAGUGGAGAUUGCUUCAUCCAUAGCUUUUUGGGGGAGUGGAAAUAGAUUUAUUCUAUCUUUGCACGUUCGUCUGAUUCGGUGCUGAAAUCACUGGAGCAAAUUCAGCAGCCCCGGAUGCCUUCAGUUCAGGAUCCCGUUCUGAAUGAUGAUGGAAGAGAAGAAGCGUGUUACUUUGUGCUAAGUAAGAGAAGGGGACUGUAUUGAACACCGAGUUUGCUCGUUUGAUUUGUAAGCAUAUGAAAUAGCCUGCCACAUUCUUCAACUAAGCACGUAAAUUACUUGAAUCGUGGUUGUGUGUUCUGUGUUUGCUGUUACCAUUGGAAGCAGUUUUAUCAGGCUUCAGUCCCUGUGGUACUCGAGAAAGUUGUAAGAAUGCAAAGCUAUCUGAAGGUCAUUUGCAAUCUUAACAGCAGAAAUUACUAGCUGCUGUCAGCUACUAUAAUGGUGUUGAUAUGUGGCGUAAUAGUUUUACAGUGAAAUGGGAGAUGUAUUGAAGGUAUCUGAAACAGAAGCAGAAAACGUGGCUUUGGUGUGCAGGCAGGAGGAUAUUUCAGUGUCAGCUCUGAACACGAUCCCCAUAUUACACUGAGACGCAACGACUCCUUAAUGAUGGAGGCUGCUGACAGUCAGACAGGCGCUUGGAAAUUCCUCUUCACCAAGUGUUUUGGAGGCAGCUGGCAGACUUCCAGAAGUGUUCUGCUGGAGCUGCACAGCAGGCACACUGAACUAGCCUUGGUUGUGUGCCAGUUCACUACGUGGCAGUGGAUCAGGAUUCUCCAGAGAGGCUCUGCAGUCUCCAUCCCUGGGAGACCUUCAAGAGCAGAGUGGUUGGUCCUCAGCUGUGAUCUCAUAGCUGACCUGGGCUAAGCGGGAGGUUGGAUUGGAUGACCUUGUGAGGUCCUUUCCAGCCACGGUUCUCCUGUGAUAACCUCCUGAGUAGGCUCUGCUUUACAUGGGAGGUGGGAGGAAUUUAUAAACCAUAAUGUUAGUUUAAUUUUUUCUUUUCACAGUGGGUUUGCCUUUUUGAAGUAUCCCACUAGGAAUUCUGCAUCUUGGCUCAGUCGUGGCUUGGAGAAUAACCGAGUGUUUCAGGUCAUUUCCCAGUGAGGGAAUACAGUGGGUUCCUGAACAAGGCGGGUAAAGGCAGCUGCUCCACCAUAGCCUUGCACUGCCUGCUUGGUGUUGUUUAGCAUAAGGCAUAACAGCCAGGGAGAAUUUCAUAAUUUAUUUUUUGAUGGCUCGUGCCAUAGUCAAAACAGAUGACAUGUCUGCUAAUCCUGCAUCCAGAUUGCUUUGGUGGGUUGGGGUGGGCAUUGCAUCAUUUUGUUCUCCUAAACUCUUGUGUUUUUUGUCGUUUAGGAUCUGCCAGAACAGCAGUGCCCUGGAAAUAUCUGACUGCACAAAAAUCAAAAGGAAAUUGGAGAUUGGCUUUGUUAAGGACACCUCCUGUUCUAUGGCACUGUCACUCAAUCGCUGUGUGGGAGUGCAUACAUUGUCUACAGGUGGUAGUGAGGAGGAGUCAAAGCUUCAGAGAGAGCUGCAGGAACAGCUGGACCUCAUAAGAGCUGCAAAAGAAGAUUCCCCAGCUAAAACAUGUCCAUGGAGAGCCAUAUGUGCAUAGCUGUUAGGAUUUUGGAAUCAGUGUGGUGGAAUGACAGGGAGAUGAUGGGUAAAUAUUAAUUGAGAGAGCAACCCCUGCCAAGAAAUUCUUUGCGAUCGUGUUACCUUCUCUUCAUGCAAAAUAUUUACCAAGUCAAAUACUGCCAUUUAAUUUACCAUAACUUGGUAGUCAUUACACAGGGACUUGAAGAGAAGGCCCAGCGGCCUGGCAGCCUCCUGGUGUGCCUUUGGGCUGUCCCAGAGGCAGUGAGACUGUCAGCAUGGCAGCGUGUGCUGGGAAGCUGCUUUCCAUUCUAUAUGCAGUAUCACAGGGCUGUGCUGAGCCAUGUGCCAAGCUGGCACCUCGUCCUGGCCACCUUUGGGCCAGGGGAUGGAAGGGUAAGAUGAGCUGAGCUGAUAGGUCUCUGUCAUCUGUCUGAAGGGCUUGCAGAAAUCUAGUGAAUGGGGCACCGUGUUUGGGUUUUCUUUCCAGAACUGGCAAUGCACAGGUGUAGGGUUGGUAGCAUGGAGAAGGCCAGACGAGGAAUAGAAAAAAGAGGGAAAGUUCAUUUUUGCAAUUAUUUCUGCACUUCUGUUCCUAAGACCUCUUGUUUUGUUUGUUUGUUUGUUUGUUUUGUUUUGUUUUGUUUUUAUGUUUCAUUUGCUUGGAGUCUGAGCUGGGAUAUCACAGGGAUGCUUCUCUCACUUCUGAUUCAGUAGAGUUGUAUUUCAGGCACUGAUUUGCAUUGACAGGCAGAAAAUACUUCUGUUUAAUUAGAAUAAAUCAUUUUAAAGUUGAAGAUGAAGAUGACCCUGGAAGAGUGCCACUCACAUCUUUAGUUGAUGCCUCAUGCCCACAAUUGAUGUGGGAACCCUAUUCCCAUGCCGACGGCACAGGCCAUGUGUGCACUGAGUAAUCACAAAUUUACACAUCAGCAUUACUCAACCUCCAGGCAGCGUGCGGUCAGUUUUCAUUUGCACUCUUAAAAUUGUUUCCAUUUAACACCCUUAAGCAGCUCUACGAAUUACAGUGAAAUAUAAAAUGACCCUCACAUUUGCUCUCCUGCUUAUUCAACACGACCGUUCCCCGCUCGGCGUGGCAGCGUGCUUUUCAUGUGGCUGCCCAUAUGCCCUGCACAUGACUGUGAUCUGGCUCCCAAAAGGGUAUGUUGUGAUCUGCUCGCAUGUGCCAAUUCACAUAUCUAAACGUUUUCAUAAGGGGAACCCCUUUGUGUUAGUCAUCUGGUUGUCAAACAAGACCUGGCUGUGAUCCUGGACCUGGCACUAGAUGAAAUAUGUGCACUUUAAACAUUUCAUACUGAAACUGAUGGGAAUGGGCAAUUCCUCAGUACAUUUUCUCAAGGUUUUUAAACAAUAAAUGUCAACCUAAGGGCAAAGCGAGACAGAUUUCAGAUUAAAGAGACGGGCUUUGCUUAACAUCUAUAAAUCCCUUAGUCCCAACCUCCUUCAUGGUUUUUCAAACAAGGAACAAGGAAAGGCUAUGUCAAGCGCGGUGGACACUUUUGUCAACACAACUUCUGCCUUUGGUAGCAUGAUAGAAAGAUUUCAAAAAUAGAUUUUUCUGAUGGAUUCAUGACUUGGCAUCCCGCAGAGAAUCUAGUAUUCUUCCAAGCAAAGCUAAAGGUUUGUGUUAGAAGGCUAGCAAAGCCAGUCAAAGAGCCUUUCAUCCUCAAGAUUACUAAAAUAUUCCUUUGUUUAUUUUUCUCCUUCAAUUACUUUUCCUGUCUUGGUUUAAUCUGUAGUGCUGAAGCUUGUCAGCACCUAUAGCCUUUUGUUUAGGAUAGAUGCCUUGGGAGCAUGAAUAAAAACAAUUUUCAUGUAGUGUCUCCUUGUCACAGCUGCUGCCUGAAGCCCAUCGACUUCUCUUUCCAAAGACCCGAUUAUGCACACACAAACAGAACAGAGCCUGGAGCCAGCAGUUUGAUAUUGCUUAAUGCCAGCGAUGAGCCCUCGUUAACCCGGUGCUCCAUCAUUUGCAAUAGAAGCAGCAAAUUUGUUUUCUCUCCCAGUUUCCAAAGAAAAAAAUGUGUCAGAAUGCUUGUCUUGACUGUAACUUAGUGAAAUGUUUAAAUAUUUUAGAAUGUAAAUUCUAGAAUUUGCAGCUGCGGGGAGAAGGAAAAUGAAACUUGUAUUUGGAAAAUUAAUUCUCAAACAAAAAUUCCCUGUAUAUGUUUUCUUUUUCCAGGAAAGUGAUUUCUUGAAACUUCAGCAUAUGCUUUUCAUUUGUGUGAGCUGGCACUGCCACGAGCCAGAGGAGGCUUGCAGCAAGCGGGGCCAUGCGGGACUGGCACCUGCUCGGCUGUGCUCGGGUGACUUCUGGACCUUCUGGUACUGUGAGUGAGCCGCACUUGAUGGAAAGAUGCUGAGCAUUUUUUCUUGACCCCAUGUCAUUGUGGAGUGGUUGCAGCUUGCUGUCACGGGCAGUCUUGUCUUGCAGAGAGCAGCAUAUCCCUGCAGAAAGAGAAAUGCUGUGGUAGCUCUAGAUGCAAGAGAAGCUUCAAGGAAAGUUUGCAUUUAAUUAUUGUUAGAAAUGUGCAGCAAAACAGAUUUCAUUGUUUUUAGCUCUUACAAAGCCAUAUGCCUAUGUCUCUGGGUUCCAAAACCACAUAACGAACAAAACAAAACAAACAAACAAAAGCAAGACCACAAGCAAGACCACAUAGCAGUAAUUAAAUGUCUCUGUUCCAGAAUAGGGUGCGUACUGUGAUCAAGACUGGCAGUAGCAGGGAAGCCAGGGUGCAUAGCUGAAGGAGGAGAGCAGACAGGAGCAAUGGGCAGGGUUUGCAGGGAAUGAGGAGCGUGGGUCUGUGUGCACCCUGGGAAGGGGCUCGUAACCAAGCACACAGUACUGGAACCUGCUGUGUGGUUGUUUGCAGCUGGAAAAAUGCAAUGGAGACAUGAUUCCUCAUGUAAUUCUUAGGUUGAAUCAGUUGGACCUAUUCUUUGCUUACUCAUUCAAAACUAUCAUUUUAUUCUGUCCCAGCGAGCUGAAGCAGACUGGCUUACUUCUCAUAGGGUGUCCAUCCAGCUGCCUUGAAGACAGCAGAAGGAACUAGAGAUUGUGGUCACAGUUCAGUGACUGAGUGAAGGGAUGAAGGUCAUUCCUCUCACUGAGACAGUCUCUUCAUACUCCCUGUCACCGCUUCUCUGCUCAGUGUUGUUCCUGCUAAUCGGGAUGCUUUGAAAUAGAGAGAGAGGAUAGUGGGAGGUGCAAGAAGAAAGACUGAAUUGAAGGCAGAAGAGAGCACAGUGGGGAUACAGACAGAAAAACAGGCUACGUGCUGAGCACAUUUAAAGGAGCACAGCUGGAACAGUGCUGGAGAGUAACAAAACUAUCUUUCCAUGUGUGUUUGCCUGUUCCCGUGUUAUUUUUCCCCAGUACUGCAUACAGCAUGGUUUCCCCACAAGGUUAAAGAUCACAAUAAUGUUUUAUGUAGGUAGCAGAAUACCCUGCGUGGAGGAAGUGGUACAUGAUUUUACUUAGAGAACAGAGAUUUCAUGGUUUUUAACACAUGCAAGGAAAUUUGUCUACUGGCAUCUGUUGCGGAGAUGGUAUCCCUUUGACACAAGUCAGGAAGCAAAAGCAUCUGUGGCUGUAAGGACAGUGCUUGCAGAAAACACUUGUGCAGAUAUCUUUAUUCAGGUCUGGUUCCCAUGUAGAAAGAGGCAUGUCCUCAGGAUGGCUGCUGAAUGCCAUCAGCACUGGGAGAGAAAAGAACAGAUGUAUGGCUGUAAACCGAGAUGUGAAAAAGCAGGAAUCUGAAGUUAGCUUGAAAGUUAUUUGGGCUGGGGUAUUGGUGGGAAGUGUCAGUGGGCAGCAGCUCAGAACCUGCAGUAACUGCUUGGCUGCCUGGCUCUUUCUUCAGCAAUCUCACUUGAGUGUUUUCAUGUGCAAGCAGAGGACACUGAUCUGCCCUGUCUUCCACACAUGUGCAUUCAUUCAGUGCAGUUACCUGUGUUGCUGUAGUAUACCUGCCCCUUUGGACUUGAGCACAAAUGUAUCAGGUAAAUGCAGGUGGAUGCAGCCACCGGUAAAGAAGUUGGUUUUUUUUUUCAUUGUGAUUGAUGCGUGGAUAGCAACCCUAUCCCAGUCUUACUAUUGGAUCAUCAGUCAAGACUUGAGGACUGCUGAAAGUAUGUCCUCAUCCCUAAGGUGUUGCAGUUCAGUGCUGGACCCGUCCAAGCUGAGACAAACUGAUUUUUGCAUUCAACAAAGCAAUGAUAGGACAAGAGGGCAUGGCCUCAAGUUGUGCCAGGGGAGAUUCAGGCUGGAUAUUAGGAAGAAUUUAUUUCCAGAAAGAGCAAUGAGGCAUUGGCACAGGCUGCCCAGGGAGGUGGUGAAGUCAUCAUCCCUGAAGGUGUUUAAAGAAAAGGCAGAUGUAGCACUUAGGGACAUGGUUUAGUGGGCAGUAUUGAUGGUAGGUGGAUGGUUGGACUAGAUGAUCUUAGAGGUCUUUUCCAACCCUAAUGAACCUGUGAUUCUGUGAAUGCAUGUGGAGUAUAUGACUGGCAGAAAGGACGGAUGUUGGGACGCGAAGCCUGAGUUCAGGUCUGAUACCAAAUGACUCCUGCAAAUUGGGCAGAGUAGGCUUCUGCUCUCUCCAUGCUUAAUUUCCUAACACUGUUUGGAGCUAGUUGGGAGCAGGAGAUAGUGAGCUGUCCAGAAAAACAACCAUUCCAGGUGCCGUGAUGAGUGUGGAGUAUACAGGCAUUGCACAGAAAGCAGUGACAGCAUGGUCUGCAUUAUCUGGUGAGGUGGUACAUCAUCUGCAUACCUGUGUGAUUCUAUAUGUGUGUAUCAGCAGCCUAUUGUUACAACGUGCUUAUGUGGCAAUUCGUUUGUGGAGUGUACCUUGUGCUGGUGUUCCACAGUAUUAAUGUUCUCAAGCAUGGGAAGACAUCUGUCAAGCAAGCACUAGUAAAUACCAUGCAGCUGUACUUUGUCAGGGUUCCAUUUUGCAUUUCCCUCUUUUCUCUACCUCAACACUCCUUCAGAUCACACUGACAUCAGUUGUGAUUAUGGCAAAAGAAGAUAACUCCUGUUAACCCUGUCAGAUGCUUGCAUAAGAUGAAGGCAUUUUCUUAAUGCACUCAUAAUCUAUAACCAGUUGUUUUUAAAGCCAUUUGAGAACCGUACAGAGAAGGCAUUUUGCAUUUGGUCAGUCAGAAGUUGGUAACUGUUUUAGAAGCCUGCUGGAAGGAAGACAUCAAGAAAAGCUUUUGCAAAGCUGUGUUUUCACCUCACAGUGCUUUGCAGAGAUGCAUUCUUGGGUUCGGUUCAUAUGGGUUCAUUUCUCUGACUUUCACUUUGAAUUUUGGAAUCAAAGGCAUUUUAAAAUUUUAGAUCAAACUUAUUAGAAAACACUGUAUCUCACCUGGUUUCAGCUCUUUAAGUAGUGAAAAGCAGUGCCUCCCCUGCUGUGAUCCUGAUACAAAUCUGUAAGUCAUCACGCCAGCGCGUUUGAAGCUGGGCCUAGCACUUCUGUCCAGAGUACAGCGUUGCUCAGAAAGUUCAUGGCUUCACCUUUGAACAGGGUGUUGCAGCGAAACAGGCAGCAGGCCGGAUUUCUGGGUAGAUGGCAAAGACAGCACCCAGCUUUCAUUUUGGGGAUUUUCCUAGCAUAAAGCUGCCCGAGCCAGAAGGCAGUUUGCGGCCACAGAUCCCUGAUUUUGCUCCUUUGAAUCACAGCUGGUGUCCUUUUGGGUGCAUCAGACGUGUUUGCUUCUGUCCUGGAGGCCGACAUUCAGCCAUCAUGGCCGUGGCUAAGGUCUCCAUCCUUGCCAUAUAGACUGGAGUCUGCAGCAGUAGGGCUUAGAACUUGAUACAAGCCUGAAGGGAGAGUUAUGAGCACAGUGACUGACAGCUCACGACUGUCUGAUAUGUCAGACCUCUGAGACCAGGUCUGGGAGGGAGGGUGAAUACAGUACCUGGGGAGCAGUCCCUUCCCUUCCUCCUGCUGGGGGGCAGUGGGGCUGGGCCUGUCCCUGCUGCCCACCCUGCCCUCCAGAGCACAGCUGCCCCUGCGGUUUCCGGGAAUCCCCGCCUGUAUGUGGUUUCUUAACCAGUCCUGCAAAAAUGUAUUUUUUAUUGAAUGUUAUUCUAGCCAUAAAACUUUUAAGCUGUUCAAAUACUUUCCUUUGUGCAGUAGACAUCUGAGACUAUUAGGCAUUAACAAGUAAAUGUACUUUUUUUUUUUCAACUGCUUCAAUCUGCUAAGGAGUUUUCUUUGGACUGAUUCUCCUCUAGUGUUGUACCAGAGGAAACAUUACUGUGAUCUGAUAUCAUAUCUCCUCACUAUCUGUCUCCUCAGAUUGCAGAUGUGGAUGUGUUUUAUGUUGAAUUACAAAGGGACUUUAUUUUGUGGUAACCAGUUAGGUCAAACAGCUCACCCAUGGUCCAGAAGUGCUUAAAGCCCAGAGGUACCGAUGUGAUUCACGGCAGUCCCUCUGUAGAGCCCAUAGAGUGUGGGGUGAGAGCGUGGGCUUCAGUAAAUCUCAGCUGGAAGAUUUUAGGAGGUGAAUUUCACUAUUUCUUGAGCUAUUUAAUAAUGACUAUAAUCCAUUUUUUAACACCUGUCACAGGAGCUUCAUGUCACUGGAGCUGUUGACUUUAAUGUACUUCAUUACUUGUAUAACGGCAUCAUCUGUUGUUGGCAUCCAAUUAAGUGACAAACAGUGAGAAGGAUCCUGCCCCAAACUGUAUGAGACAGGAAGCAAGCAGCAUUCUUGUAGUUGUGCAAACAGUUAAAGCAGUGCCAAAAUUUGCUUAACAUAUUCCGGAUCUUAUUGAAAUGCUUGGCCUAGUAUGGUUAACUAUACACCUGAAUUGGGCUGUAGACGCUUAUUUCAUUGGCCUGAUAUUCCUGUUGGUAUUCCUGUUGAGGGGACUCUUUUCUUGGGGUUUCAGGAAAGCUCCUUGCUGGGGUUGCUGGGAUCAGUUCUGCCCCGACCACCCACAGCCCAGGCAGCAUCGCUCUCAAGUAAGGCUCAUUCCAUAGCAGGUGCCAGAGGCUUGCCCAGGGCAGGCUGCUCUCAGCCUGUGGAAGAAAGCUGUGUAACACCUCUUAAUCUGUACGUAAUGGUUUGGAUAAGGAAACUGGUAAUCUGAAAACAUUUAUCUGGUGAUGCUUUUGAUUCGUAUGCCUGAGUGAAAUAUUGUGAACUGCUCCCAGUCCUGUAAAUGCAAGGCAAUUAGACUAUGAGGUGAAGUAUAAAGAGGAAUUUGAAGAGCACCAUGCCAGUGAUAAAACCCGUAAAACCCUUGCACAUCCAUCACCUGUGUUGUGGAUGCAGUUCUAAUCCCUGUAUUUUAAGAAGGGCAUUGGGGAAUUAAGAGGCAUUACAGUAAAGAUGAUCGUGGGGCUGAGGCAGCUGUUUUGGGGGGGAGAUGAGGGGUGGUUGUUGGGCAAGGCAGACCCAACAGGGCACUUGUGAUUUCAGCCUGCAGCAACAUAGGUAAAGUAGCUCUCUUCUCUGUUGGACAGAAUGACUGGAGGAGAAUUCUUGGGCCUUUUAUUCAUUAUUUACAUGGCUUUUGUGUCUGCUGGCGUAGUGUAGCGUAACCCAGAAUGCGUAAAAUACAGUGAAGUUGAAAUAUGUGUGAAUUUAAUGCCUGAGAAACAUAAAUCAUGUCAUGCAGGUGAGAUGCAUUGACUGAAUCAAAUGCACUGAACUUCAGAGCCAGUCCUUCUUUGGAAGCACGUUAAGAACUGUCCACUCCACUCUUCUCAGGGCAUUGUUGUGUGCUCUACCAAAUGAGAUUCUCAAUUCUUCUUGGAAAAAAAAAAGAUUUUUGUUUCCUAUUCUGUCUUCGAGUCCAUCUUUGCAAAGAAGCAACAAGUCUCUGAGAGGGGGAGAUGCUGGUGAGGCUUCAUCUAAAUCAGGCAGGUUUAUAAGACCAGGAGGGAAAACACAUUUUCAGACACGGUCAAACAGAGGAGCUGGAUGAUUUCGUCUUUGUCCAUUCAUAACAAUGACGGAACAGAAACUAAAAGUUGAGCUUAAAAGAGCAAAAGCUUUGGAAAGGAAACUUGCUCAUGGCUUCAGAGCUGGCUUGGAGUAUGUAGGCAGGAAGCCUGGAGCUUUGUAUGGGAGUUUGGUUUAACCCUAUGAAAAACAUCAUGGAAGAGAGCUGUGGGAACUUCAGCAGUUUUCUGCAGAGUUGAACUAGGAAAGCCAGGAUAGGUUUAAGCAUCAAGGCAGUUUUUUUUUUUUUCCAGGAAAGCAGAGUUCUAAAAUAACACCUCAGAGGUGUUUGUAGCAUUGGAUUUUUCAUUCUUAACUUCUUAUUCAAGAAAAAACUUUGAUUGUUAUGUGUAGGAUUUUCAGUGUUUGUAGCUUAUUACUUGUUUUGCAUGUGAACAAUUUCAGUCAACACCUAAAAAUUUGUUUAUGACAGUUUUGCCACCUGUCCAGUGGGAACUGCUUGACUUUUUAACCAGCCGUUGACUUGCAGAACUGCUUCCAUAAGAUGCAGAAAGGAUUGGAAGGUGUUUUCCUACAGACAGAUUACAGCAACAUCUUUAAUUUCAAGCCUGUUAGCAGCUGAUAGCCUGUUAUCCCAUAGCCUUUACACAGACCUUGACUCUCAUAACCCUCACAAUUAUUCUUCAUCCCACAAAUGUUAAUAUUUACUAUAUAGUCAAUCUCCAAACCACAGGGAGUCAUUUGCAUGCGUGGUAUCACUUGCACUUCAACUAAAUAAAACCAUUAACCUUUCACUGAUACACUUAGGUCAUAGAAGUCACACUUGUAUGGGUUGUGUAGUUUGGGUUAACGCUGUAACAUUCCCUUCUCACCCUUACAGUACAGCACCUCCUGAGCGUGGCAGCCCUGACACUGAUGCUGAACUUGUGUGCCCUGUCCCAGGCGGGGACUGGCACUGGAGCAGGUCGCACUGAGCCAUAAUUGUAAAUUCUCUGGGGCUGGAGUCACCAGCCAGUAAUCCUCUAUGCACAGGCUCCCCCUUAUGGAAAUGAAAGAUACUAAACAAUGCUUUUUUCCUCUUGUCUCAGACAAAACUAAUAGUUUAUUACUGUGAAGACACUUCUCAAGCCUGCAGUAGUACUUUUCAACUUAAAGUUUUAAGUUCGGGUGAUGAUGGAAUGGAUGUAGGCUCACCGUGGCAAACAUGAAUGAUGAUGACGCAUGUAUGUGUUUAUACUCAAAGUGAUAAGAGCUCCUUUGGAGGCUGGAAUUUCUUGUGAUUUCCUGAUGGUGAAGAAGGGAACAGGAGCUCUUCAGAUGUUAAGAGAUGCUGCAGAGUAAAUCCUAGCUGUAGCCUCCUCUGUCUUCAGAGGAGCAAAAGAAAGUCAGUGGGAUCAAAUAAUUUAGUUCUGGAAUAGUUAUAUUUUGAUGCUCUACAGUGGAUAUUUUGGAUUGGAUCCUGAUGGAUCAGAACCAUUGGAAGAGUUAGAAAUAGACACCGUGGAUUUUUCCCUUAGCCAAUUCUAGUAAAAAGUUUCAAGUUGUUCCAGUGAGACACACCAUGUGUAGAUUUAGAUAUGCUCUUGCCUUCUUACUUUUAUUUUGCGUGAAAGAUGGUUCCCAGCUUCAUGAAAGCUAUGUGAGAGCAGUUACAGUUCUGUGCUCAGCCUAUUCUGACACUCUAGCACAUGUGCAUGACAACAGUAGGCUAGACAGAGCUUUGGAUUUGCUCAGUGGGGCAGUUCUUGUGACUGCAGGAUAUCUCCUAGUGCCAAAGUACCAUAGUUGGAGCUGAUGCUGAUCAGCAUCAUCUCACUGAUGUCCUGUGUUCUGGUGAGAGGCUCUGAUAGCUUGUGUGAGUUGGGGUGACAGAGCAGUUCUUUCUUUUGCGAGACCAACUUUCUGUUGGCGUAAGCCAUAUAAAUGGGUGUUGUUCAGACAACACCUGAAGGGUCUGCCUGGCUCCCUAACAUCAAAAUCACAUGGGGAGAUUGCUUAAACAUUUAAAGUACUGUUGAAGGUACAUUAUUAGUAACAACAAAUAGUAUUGUUAGUUUUUAUAGUGCUAGUAUUAAUAGUAUCAAACACAUUUAGAAUAUAUUGAAGUUGCUGGUCUGGGCCCUCACCUCACAGAUGAAGUCAUUCCUGUACCAGAGAGAACAGGAGGCACACGUGUCCCAGGGCAGGAUCUGAACUGGAGAGGCACAUACUGGUUUUGCUUUUUUUUCCCCCCCCAUUUUUAGAUUUUAUUAGUAUUAUUGAUUUGUAUUGUUCUUCUAACUUGUUUAUUACCCAGUUUUGAAACCAAGAUCCUAGUGGAGCUACUGGAGUGGACUUUCAUGCUGAACUUGAGUCCUUCUUCCCAUCCAAACUAAAGUAUUCUGCAAGGCAUGGCUCACACAGUGCUUGCAGCCUUUCUGCUUUGCCCGUGUGCUGAAUGAGGUUCAGGCCUUUGUGGGCUCAAUGUGAUGCCCUCCUGUGUUCCUGGUCUCAUUUCAAUGCUGCUAGGGAAAUUGAUUUUAAUUACACAUGCUGCUGAUCACCUAAUCUCAUAAGGGGACAUGGCUGAGAAAUAAAGAACCCAGAAAAAGGAAACUAAUUUAUGCACUCUGGGGACAGGAGGAGUGAUUUGAGUGGUGCAUGGGAAGAGGAGUGCUGGAGAGCAAAAAGAAGCUGAGAUGAUGGAUGGUGUGAUUAAAAACUCUGAUGUUUCUCAGUACAUUCUCCCUUCAUUUGCUUAAAGCAAACACCAUUUCAGUUUUCUCUGGCGGCAUCUUUGGGUUUUAUUUUAUGCAGUCAUUUUUAAUGUACUUUGCUAUCUGGCCUUGCAGUUGUAGGCUGUGUUCUGCAAACCCAACUGAACCAAACUGACAGUGGAGGGCCCAUUGCCUGAGCAGCACAGUUCCAGUUUUGUGUUUGAGAUCAGUUCUCAAGCACAGGGAUUGCACUGCAAAGGCACUCGGGGGGACCGUGAUGCCACCCAGACAAGUCUCAGUGUGCCCAGUUUCUCCGUCCCUCAGCGGUCCUCUCUGCCCAGCACCGAGCAAAGGCCGUGCCCGCAGCCUGCCAGGCUGCCGUAUGCCCGAGUCCCUCCCCGGGGCUGAGGCCUGUGCUGGGCCUCACCCCGCGGGGCAGAGCCGUUCCCUCUGGGGAGAGCGGAGGGGACCCGGCAGGCCCAGGGCAGACUUAGGAGUGCUGACAGUGGAGAGGCGCUGACUGCUUUGGCUUUAGAAAAGAGCUUUAGGUCUUUAUUAUCGUUACAAUUUGGUACUGUCCUUUUGAAUUGCUUCUUGUCCUGGUUUGACACAAAAGUCCCAGUGGAGCAGCUGGAAUGGACCUUCAUGCUGAACGCGAGUCCUUCUUCCUGUCCAAACCAAAGUCUUCUGCUUCUCCAAUGGAAGCUGCCUCUGGACCUUCUCUGGUGCUGCCUGGAGGCUGCAGGAGCUCGGUGCCGUCUGCUGGGCUCCUCCCAUUGUCCCGGCACAGCAGCUGACAGGACAUCAGUCCCAGUGCUGCCCUCUUCUUCAGGGCUCCCCUGGAGGCUGCACGGAGGUCAGGGCUGUCCGCUGGACUCCUCCCAUUGUCCCUGUGAGGAAGCAUAGAGGACACCAUUGCCAGCCAUGCCUUAUUCCUCAGGGCUCCCCUGGAGGCCCCAGGGAGCUCAGGGCCAUCCACUGGACUCCUGUUAUCCCAGUGCAGAAGCUUAGAGGACUCCAGUCCCCGUUCUACCCUCUUCCUGAGGUCUCACCUGGAGGCCGUGGGGAGCUCAGGGCUGUCCACUGGACUCUUUUCAUUGUCUUGGUGCAGAAGCAAAGAGGACACCAAUCCCAGUCCUGCCCUGUAAUGGAAAUGCUAAGUCAUGGCCUGAAGUAGUGAUUGAGCACAUGGUGAGAAGGCAGGGCCAUCCCAGGGGAGCUCAGGUGCAAGCAAUGCUCCUGAGUGACUGGAAGGGGUCAAGCCAGGAUCCACCCCUUCCCAGACCUCACUUAAGGGUUGGCAGUGGAGGUAAGAGCAUCUCUUCCCUGAGAUCCCUGCCUUACCUGAGGCCUUCCAAAGCCAGAAAUUUCAGACUGUAUGACAGUGUAUGCAAAUAAUGGCACUGACAGUGAGACGAGCCUGCUUAUCUCUCCUGGCAUAAUUACACCUGGCAUCACUUUCUUGCAAGUCUUCUCAGAUUAAAUAGCACCACCUGGAAAGGAGAAUACUCAAGUUCAGUUACUAGCACAACAGCUGGAGUCCUUACGUGAGCCAAGCCGAAACUACUGAGUGCCCCUGGCUUCUUUGGGUGGCAAGAUGCAUGCCGUGCAGCAUGUCUUUAUGCACCAAGAGCAGCUGACUGAGCAGAAUCAGGCAAGGGAGAAAUGGUGUGACACUGUCGAGCAGAGGCUUAGAAGCCCUGAGGAAGGUCUGCUUGAGCCCCUGCCCAGAGCCUUCAUCUCUUUUGUAUGUAAAGCUCCAGUGAGCUCUUCCAUGGGUUUGCUUCCAUUCAACUUUGUGCAGAAUUGCUUUCUGUAAUUGUUGCCUUUAGCAGGAUUUCACUGGGGGCCAGCAGUGCUAAGCACCAACCUGACAUCUCAGCAAGGAGGCAAACGGCAGUGCUGGAUUUCCUUCAGUAAAAAGCUUUGUUGUUCGUUGAUGUAAGUGGAGAAAGCUAAUGGAAUUGGAGGAUGGAAAAUACCUGCCAGGUCAUCUUGUCAGCCCUUCUGCCCACAGAGGGCUUUUCCUAAAGUAUCUUCUUGAGAAUAUUGAUGGCUCUAGUUAUAAAAUCAUCCAAGUAACAGGGCUUGUGUGGCUUUCCUGGGCCAGACAAGGUGUGCUCUUGGAUAACUUUCCUUGUCUCAGAGCUUUCCCUGUCACUUUUAUUAAUGAGUUUUUGCUUUAGCACUAUGAUACUUUUCUGAUUUUCACUGAUUCACACAUUGGAGGGCCUCUGGAGACCGCUAGCCUUACAGCUCGACCCCCUCCUGACGUUCUGGAAUCAAUUUGAUGCAUAUUUCUCGGGCUUUGUUUGACAAAAACCCACUGUGUUUGCAGCUUAGGCCAAACAUCUCAUGAAUCACUUGAAUAACAACUGGGAGAAGAUUCCAGUUCAGGGCAUCGGAGCAGCAGUGGCUCUGCCACCCCAUUGCCCAGCCUUUGGCACCUGUGCAGCUGUAGAUGCAGGCAGCAGGGCGGUGCUGCAUGGGGUCGGUCUGCAUCACCCUGCCUGAAAAUGGCCUUCAGGCAGACAUUGCUUUUUCUCUGUCACCUGAGCACAGGGAUGAUCUCCAGCACAGCAUUCACUGCCCUUACACUACCUCAUGCUACGCUCUGCAGUGCCGAGGAGAGCGGAGCAAUGCUCUUUAAGGGCUGUUAGUGCUGAGGCAUGCAGAGCACGUGGGACUUGCUCUCUUCCCACGGCAGUGACUGACUAAGCUGGGUUAGGGUAGCCCAGAGCCACGCACUGAGCCAUCCCACCCCUGGCCGGUGGUGCACACAGCACUGGUGAUGAUGUGAGCUGUGGUGCAGAGCAGAGCCCAAGCACAGGAGCAGAGCGGGGUCCAGCUACAGCGUCCAGGCUGUCGUGCCAAGGUACCGCAGAGGCUCCGACCGCAAGUACAUAUUGCUGGCAGGACAACAGCAGUGAGAAAAACAGUCCCCAAGCAGUAAAUUGGGCAAAGCUCUCGAUAUAAUGGAAAAAUACAGAUGCAUCUGCAUUAGAGUGUAAGACCUCUAACAAGUUAUUUCUAUCCCCCCCAUUUCCUGCUAGUGUGGCUUUCCUAGAAAUGGACACCGAGUCCUCGUUAAUGGACCCAACUGGGGCCUCUGCCUGUACUGCCUUUCACUCACCUGCCUGGAUGCCCCAUUUAUUCCUGGAACUGCAGCACUGGGAAAAUAGCACUUUAAAGGGCUCUCGCUGAAUUCUGUGGUUGAAAACCAUGUGAAGUGAGCUGAAGAAAUGAAAACUGCAAGCUCACCAGGAUGCUCUCCUGUUGAAAACUGCCAACCACUGCACGCACCUCCAGCCACUCUACCCUUCUCCAUUUGGACUUUGGACCGUUUGGCUGUUUGCAGCCAAGCUGGGAAGAGGAGUGGAAGUCAUGGAGGCAGCUCCCAGGUUCAUCAGAACAGGUCCCGCUGCAGAUGAGAUGCCGGAGAGAGCCCAUGGAGGCAGGGAGGAGUGAGAGAGCACAGCUGUGACAGCAACCAGGGAGCAGCUUGGCACAGCGCUGGGCUUCACCGAGCCUGCACCGCAUCACCGCACUGCUUCCCUUCUCAGUGUCUUUCUGAAUGCAUGUUGAAAUAGAAGGCAAGUUCUGGACAGAGGCACAUCUUUCAGUACGCCUGUGCAGAGCCCAGUGUAACACACUUCUGAUAUCAGGUGACUGCUGUAAUAAGCAGCUAUACGGACUGCUGGCCCGAUCCAUUCUCAUACAACAGGAAUUCUCCUGCUUUGUCUUUUUUUAAUCAGUAAUUCAAAAAGAUACUUCCCUGGAAUUGCUGUAAUGGCUGAAAAUGACUGAUCUGUCCUCGUCAGUAUUUCUUUUCCUCCUCCUUUCUGAACACUUCUCCCUGUUGUGCUGGUAAUGCUCGUCUGUAUGCAGCUUUCCUUACAUUUUGGCAGACAUGGGGAAUUUCAGCAGCAGUAAAUUUGAAUGGAUAGAAUUAAGAAGGAAGACAGCUUUCUGGAACACAGAGCAAGGCUUUGGGUUUUUUUUUUUCUUUUUCUUUUUUUUUUUUCCCUAGAUAUAUCAUCUAUGAAUUCUCACCUGGGACUGCUUUUAUAUAGAAAAAAAUCAUGUGCCUAAAUGUCUAUUGGCUGCACCUGGAAUUGAAAGUAGCCUUCUGCUUCAGUCGUAUUUCUUAGUUGCCUGUCCCUGGAAGGAGCUCUCAGGAUCAAACUUUGACUUGUCAGAUUUUAUUCCCCUGGCCUUUUGCUCCCUGUGAACAUGAUAUUCAAUAACUUGUUGUAGUAAGCAGUUGGACUAGGCAUGAAGUACCCAUUUCUCUCUGUUGUCUAGCAGUGUAAAAUAGCUUGAUUCUGGGUGCAAGUGGGUGUAAAUCCACUUUUGUGGGAUCACACUGAUCUGUGCCAGCAGAACUGUGAGCUGAGCCAUCCCCUUGCACCCUGAGCCAGGCCUGCUUCCUGCCUCCAGCAUGUGCUCCUUUGUUCCCUGGGCUUCCUUCAGAUCAUCCUUCUUACCGGGGUAACCAUAUACUUCCCUGUGUGCCGUGCAGGAGGAAUGCUGUGGGCAGCUUUCUAAUCCCUGAGCAAAGCUGGAGGCAGCACCUAGUAUAUCACAUCUCCAUGCACUAAACGCGGCCUGCUCUGCGUGGCCCCUCUAGGCCUGGCCUGCCCGCUUGACAUCUCCUCAACCUGGGGGCAUCUCUCACUCCCCGGAGCCCCUGCUGUACCCCAGCACACCUUACGUUAGGAAUACUUUCCAGAUGUUUGUCUCAAAUUGGACUCUGCUGGCUUCCUCCCCUUUUCUCCUAGCUGAACCCAGUUGCUUUGAGGAGGCUUUUCAACGGCAGUGCUUUUAAGCCAAAGCAUUGCAGGCUGGUAGCGCCACAGGAAGUAUUUUCACCAGUUCUGAAACAAUUAGUGACUACAGGAGUCCAGAAGGCCCACGGGAGGAGUUGGCAUCCAUGAGGGCUUGCAGCCUGCAGAGACGGGCCUUCCUCCCGCAGCACUCCUCCUCUCACCAGGCUCCUGGGCCCAGUGUGGUGUGCAGCAAUGCCGUGCCUCUUCGGGUCCUUGUCCUCACUUACAGCCCUGUGCAGCAGUGGGUCCUGGAGACAUAAAGCAGCGUGAUGCCACAAAUAUGAGCUGGGUCCCGUGCAUGUCAGGACCGUGCUGCUGUGAGGCCUAUGGUGG
rnacentral:lncRNA from 1 species